CUGUCUAGUUCUUUACUGCACAUUGCCACAUCGCAUUGGCUCAUCCGUACAAGCAGAAAUACACUCAAGCUUGGGAAGCUGAAGAUGCUUUCAAAGGGUCGCGGUGAGCCGGAGCCUAACCCGGCAGACACAGGGCGCAAGGCAGAACCACACCCUGGACGGGACACCAGUCCAUCGCAGGGCACCACACACUCACACAGAGGACAAUUUAGAGUAACCAAUCAACCUGAACAGCAUGUCUUUCACAGGAUGAACACAAAAACGAAGGCAAAAGAAACUACUGAGAACCAAGCAGAGCAAUAAUAAAACACAACAACAAAAAUGA